AUGUCUUUCUAUAGGAUGCCCAAGAAGGUUGCUAAGGAGAUUAUUAAUAUUCAAGCUAGAUAUGGAUAUGUUUGCUUGAAGGUUUUUGGUGGAAAGGAAGGCUUUCAUGUAGAUUCUUCUAAGUCUUCUUCUUGGUGGGAAGACCUCAUUAACUUGGGGAAGUUCAAUGCGCUUGACCAUUUUGGUGAGGGCAUCUCUUUUAUUGUGGGAAAUGGUUACAAGGCGGAUUUUUGGUUUUCCAAAUGGUGCAACAAUUGCAGGCUUAAGGAUUAA